CUCAUCUUUUUAUAGUUGAGCUUUUCUUUUUGUAGACACUGGGGUCCUGAAAAGCAUUUGCUGAUAGAAGAUAAAACACCCUUUGAGACUCUACCUUCCCUACUAGGGUGUCUGUCAACUUUCAUAGUACUUGGGUUUAUAACAAUGGGGGUGAGAAUAGUGUAAACUCAUAGGGUGGUUGUGAGCUAAUUGCAUUAUUCUAUGCAAAACAGUGAGAAUACUGCCUGAGACCAACUGUCAUAUAAAUGUGUGAACUAUCUUUUCCCCGAGGAACCAGACAUGAAGGAAGCUGGUGAAGGGACGGGCGCAUCUGUCAACCUCUGGUUUGUGUUCCUUGUUCAACUAAGAAGCAUUUAUAAAGAAAGGAGGAGCCAUGGCUUAGAAGAGAUGUGGAAUUUGUUCUGAAGCAUCUCCCCUAUACUUUGGACAGUGCCCUCCAGGAAAAAGAGAUGAAGAAACAGCAGAAUAAUGUGAUGACCUCAGUUUGUG